rnacentral:lncRNA from 1 species
UCCAUGGUAUAUAAUAUUAGAACUAAUUAGAAAUUUAAAUCCUCUGCUUUGUAUCAGUGCAAGUAUACUUCAUGGUAAAAGAUUGUAGUUGAAUAUAUUCAAUGAAUAGUUAUGUUGCUUUGAAAAAUGUGAGUAUUCGCUGGGACCUUACUAUUGACUUUCAAAAUAGUACCAUUUAUAAAAACUGUUUUAAAACAAUUAUUUUAAUUCAUAUGGUUAUAUUAUUAAAAUGAUAUACCUGAUUUCUAUGUCUCAUUAAAAACCUCUGAAAAAUAUUAUUUUGGGAGUGGUUUGUUAGAUUUUGUAAGUUAAAUAGUUCACUGAGUGUUAUGUUAGCAGUUGCUACUUUUUUCUGCCUCAGUAUUGCAUCCAUUCGACCUGAAUCAAAAUGAUGCUUCCUGUGGUUAAAGACUAUGUUUUAUACCUUUCAAUAGCUAUUUUCAAGUAUUAUUGAAAUACAAGAAAACAUAAAUGUUUUCCUAAUUGCU